AAAAUGAUGUACUGCUGGCUGCUGUGUAGGCAGGGGACGUUUUUUUAAGUUGUGUGAGUUGUGUCCUGAGUGUUUCUGGAGCAAGUGCGCAUGCCUCUGGGAGAAUUACAGACAUCUGGUGUGGAGGUCAAGUUGCAGUCUGUGUAGAACCAAUCAAUGGAGCCAGGAGUAGAACACCCCUCCCUUCAUGUGCUCCACCACAGCUAAAAAGCCAAGAAUGACUGUACACACAAACAAACUUAUCACGCGUACACACACCAGUCCAAAACACACCCACCUUUUACACAACAGUACGUGUUCGGGUCCAUUGUAUUUACUGACAAAUCUCGUCACACAAGCCAGCAACCUAAGAGCAAACACAUGUAGGCUGAGAGAAUGAGCAGGCAUACUCGACACGUGUGGAGAGGGAACCUUGCCCUAGAUUCUCAAGGAAAUCUCAUAUUACAUCUCUGCUUUAGCCAGACUGUGUGAAGGAUUCAGUCAUCCAGAAUGUGCAGCCCUAUACACUCUAUAGGACACACUCUGGCAGACUGCAUGCGCGCACACUGAAAAAAUGUAAUGACACUUUAAUGCAGUGUAGAUGGUGACGUAUGUUUUUCUUAAACAAUAUUAUACAUGGUUUUCUUUUUUUGGAUGUAAUGCUAAUCUAAGAUGUCUAGGCACAUUUACUUGACUGUUCACUUCUGCAGCAGUGAUUGUUGGGCUCUUACAAGUGUUGAACAUUUGAAGUUCAUUACUUUGUGCUCUUUUUUUUUUCAGAUAAACGCUGAGUUUAAGAGAAUUACCACCAUACCACUUCAGUUAAAGUUCUCCAUUUUGAUAACCUGAGGAAGCUGUUCAAAAGAAGAGGAGGACAGCUUGGACAAAUUGUUGCACAAAUGGAUGAUAUGUUGAUGCUGCAUGGGAGUAUCAUUAAAGAAGUCUGCAUGUAUAUAGGAGAAGAUCCAGCCAAGCUCAUCCAGGAGUAUGUGGGUGUGGAUGAAGCUACCAUUGAAGAGGCUAUUGGAACCACCACCAUCUGCGUUUUUCAUCUGAAAGACUUCAUCACAUGAAGACAUCAGGAUCGUCCUGGAAGGCAUCAGAGUGGUGUCCAAUUUGGAUAGUGUGCCAACAGCUGUUGUAAUACUUGUUGGACUGAUAUAUGGACUGAACCUCGCCUACCCUGCUGACCUUCGCUACACUUUUGAGGUGUUACAGAAGAUAACAAUGGAACUGGAUGGAGGUAAACUCUCCAACAAGACAUUAUUCAUUAAAAACUGAGUGAGUAAAUGGACAUUUUUAAA